rnacentral:tRNA from 1 species
GCGCCCGUAGCUCAGAUGGAUAGAGCGACGGACUUCGAAUCCGUAGGCCGGAGGUUCGAGCCCUCCCGGGCGUG